rfam:Cavia porcellus supercont2_166 genomic scaffold, whole genome shotgun sequence.
GGGGGUUUAGCUCAGCGGCAUAAGCACCUGCCUUGAAAGCAGGCAGUCGUGAAUUCAAUCCCCG